rnacentral:rRNA from 1 species
UACGUAGGCAGCGAGCGUUGUUCGGAGUUACUGGGCGUAAAGGUGCGUAGGCGGUUGUUAAGUUGGUGUGAAUCUCCGGCUCAACUGGGAGGGUGCGCCGAAUACUGGAAUGACGUAGAGUGCGGGAGAGGAUAGUGGAAUUCCUGGUGUAGCGGUGAAAUGCGUAGAUAUCAGAGGAACACCGGUGGUCGUAGACGGCUAU